UACGAAGGGGACUAGCGUUGUUCGGAAUCACUGGGCGUAAAGCGCACGUAGGCGGAUUCGUAAGUCAGGGGUGAAAUCCCGGGGCUCAACCUCGGAACUGCCUUUGAUACAGCAAGUCUUGAGUUCGAGAGAGGUGGGUGGAAUUCCUAGUGUAGAGGUGAAAUUCGUAGAUAUUAGGAAGAACACCGGUGGCGAAGGCGGCCCACUGGCUCGACACUGACGCUGAGGUGCGAAAGCGUGGGGAGCAAACAGG
rnacentral:rRNA from 1 species